AGAAAAUAUAAUGAGAGAUUGAGACAAUUUUCAGACAGUGUAUAGGGGUAGGAAUGUUUCCGAUUACCCCAUUAUUAUACAUUAUUUGGAAUGAUCAAUUACAAAGAUUGGAAAAAUGCCGAGGGUGUCAAUCCAGUAUGCGAGUUUCCCUUUGCUUACUCUCUAAAAAGAAUAAGUCUGGGGGAGAGAAGAACACCAAAGAAAAAAACAUAUAAAAAAAUGGUCAAUUUAUCAUGGUAUAGUACAGGAAUGAGUCUAGAAGGAUCUUGAAUGUUAGCUUGUUUGAUGAGACCCAGCGAUGCAAGCCUGGUGGAUAUAGUUGUGAAACUUAAGUAUGGAAUUUAGAAUGUUGUGUAAGCUUGUAGAGAACUACAUGGUGGUUAGGAUUUGAUUAGACUUGUUAGGCAUAUGGACUUAGUUUGGAUGAUCAUGGCAAUAGGCUAGAGAAUGUUGGGAGUUCCUUUGUUUUCAAAACCUCUUCCACAGGUUCGGCUUUUGUGUUUUGUUUGAGGGCAAGCGAAAGCUAAGUCUGGGGGAGUUGAUAUAACCGGAUUUUCACCGAUUUUAUCUAUGUUUUAGGUAUAGGAUUUUGAGUCUUUAUGUUAUUUCUCGAGUCUUUUUAGUGUCUUUUCAGGUAUUCUAUGCAAUGGGACAACAAUGGAGAUAAAGAGACAGUUUGGAGCAAAAGCUAAGGAAAAGGAAGCUAAGGACGAUUUUGGUUCAGGAAUCAGGGAGGAGUGUCGACCGAUACACCCUUGGUGUCGAUCGACACCAGUUUCGGCCCAGCAAAAACCCUAGAUGCUUUAAAGUCUACAU
rnacentral:sRNA from 1 species